GAUGAACGCUGGCGGCGUGCCUAAUACAUGCAAGUCGAGCGAACGGACGCGAAGCUUGCUUCUCUGAUGUUAGCGGCGGACGGGUGAGUAACACGUGUAUAACCUACUUAUAAGACUGGGAUAACCUCGGGAAACCGGAGCUAACACCGGAUAAUAUUUUGAACCGCAUGGUUCAAAAGUGAAAGACGGUCUUGCUGUCACUUAUAGCUGCAUCCGCGCUGCAUUGGCUAGUUGGUAAGGUAACGGCUUACCAAGGCAACGAUGCAUAGCCGACGUGAGAGGGUGAUCGGCCACACUGGAGCUGGGACACGGUCCAGACUCCUACGGGAGGCAGCAGUAGGGAAUCGUCCGCAGAAGGCGAAAACCUGACGGAGCGACGCCACGUGAGUGAUGAAGGUCUUCGGAUCGUAAAACUCUGUUAUUAGUGAAGAACAGAUGUGUAAGGAACUGUGCACAUCUUGACGGUACCGAAUCAGAAAGCCACGGCUAACUACGUG
rnacentral:rRNA from 1 species